AAUGGAGAUACUUCACACCUCGAAGCAACUGCAUGCAAAUGUCAAUUUAGUUUUCAGAAGAGAAAAAGAGUUUCAGCGAAUUACUUAGCAUCUGGCAAUCACAUAGCACUGACAAGAUAUUCAAGCUGAUCUGGAGGGAAAUUCCUUUACGCAUUGCAUGGGAAAUACGGCUGGAACGAAAUAGAAGAUGCUUUGAAGGAAAAAUGGAGUUCAUAGGAGUUAUAAAACUUAAAUGUAUUCAGAAUUUAUUGUACUGGUACAAAGGGAUUGUUGCUACUGAUUUGGAAGAAUUCAAGUCCAAAAUUUUGUUUC